AUUGAACGCUGGCGGUAGGCCUAACACAUGCAAGUCGAACGGCAGCACAGUAAUAGCUUGCGCUUACGGGUGGCGAGUGGCGGGUGGGUGAGGAAUACAUCGGAAUCUACUUUUUCUUAGGGGAUAACGUAGGGAAACUUACGCUAAUACCGCAUACGACCUACGGGUGAAAGCAGGGGAUCUUCGGACCUUGCGCGAUUGAAUGAGCCGAUGUCGGAUUAGCUGGUUGGCGGGGUAAAGGCCCACCAAGGCGACGAUCCGUAGCUGGUCUGAGAGGAUGAUCAGCCACACUGGAACUGAGACACGGUCCAGACUCCUACGGGAGGCAGCAGUGGGGAAUAUUGGACAAUGGGCGCAAGCCUGAUCCAGCCAUACCGCGUGGGUGAAGAAGGUCUUCGGGUUGUAAAGCCCUUUUGUUGGGAAAGAAAAGCAGUAGGUUAAUACCCUGCUGUUCUGACGGUACCAACAGAAUAAGCACCGGCUAACUUCGUG
rnacentral:rRNA from 1 species